CUUCGUCUUUGGAUAUGCUUUCCUGCUUCUCCGACGCUCAGGACCCUACAGAUCCCAUGGUACUCUAAGGAGUCGGGACGAUGCCAAGAUUAUGCUCCUUAUCGCUUCGGGAAUGGCGUGAUCCAACCGGGUCAAUCUUUCGCCGUUAGCGGUGCGACUGGAGGCCGCGGUUCUGCCUCCGAGGUCACCACCUGCCUGGUCACCCUUUGGCCUCCAGCCUCUGGACAUCGAUCCCUCCGGAGACGGGCUGAACAGAGCCAGUUUGGGAGAGGUGAGUGAAAUGACAGAGGCUUGGAGAGCACAACCCCUCUUCAGAAACAACAAAACCGUAUAAAACAAAUAAACAAAAACACGCCCUAUUCACGGAC